UCAGGCCUAACACAUGCAAGUCGUACGAGGUGUAAAUAAUUCACUUGUGAAUUGUUUAUUACUACAGUGGCGCACGGGUGAGUAACACGUAAGAACCUGCCUUUUGGAGGGGGAUAACAUAGGGAAACCUUUGCUAAUACCCCAUAAAGCUGAGGAGCUAAAUCGCAUUUGCGGCCAAGAGAGGGGCUUGCGCCUGAUUAGCUAGUUGGGGAGGUAAUGGCUUCCCAAGGCCACGAUCAGUAGUUGGUCUGAGAGGAUGAUCAGCCACACUGGGACUGAGACACGGCCCAGACUCCUACGGGAGGCAUCAGUGAGGAAUUUUCCGCAAUGGGCGAAAGCCUGACGGAGCAGUACCGCGUGAAGGAAGAAGGAUCGUGGUCUGUAAACUUCUUUUCUCAGAGAAGAAGAU
rnacentral:rRNA from 1 species